rnacentral:ncRNA from 1 species
GUGCUUGUAAAAAGAAGAGCUAGUUUGUAUCUCCCUAUACAAGGAUGGAAUCAACCUUCUUGGGAUGGACUAGAUAGCUGGGCGACCUAGAUUGAUUAU